UUUACAUAUGUUCUAGAUUAGAUCUGCUAGGCCAAAUCAGACAGAAGUUUCAAAAUGUCUUUGAUCGUCAAUAUGUCAAAACUACAGUUGUUAAAUGUGUUCGUCGCCGAGCGUUUGUUGGCGGCUGCUGUGGAGAUAUUCGGGGCCGUAGAGAAGACCGUAGCAGAGUUUCAGGAACUAAUCUGCUGUUCAGCAGAGGAGAACGAGGGUCUACGGAGGCUGUUGGCCAUGAUUAUCAAACCAGAGAUAAAGUUACACAGAGUUGACUUCCAGCAACUCACUCCAGCCGUUCCCCCUGAGCAGCAGAACUGUGAGCAGGAGUGGAGCCCCAGUCUGGGGCAGGAGGACCCAGUACCCACACAGAUUAAAGAGGAACAAUAGGAGCUCAGAUUCAGUCAGGAGGACCCACCUCAGCCCUCACAUCUUUACCAAAACCAAACUGUGGAUGAUGGAGAGAGGAGCGCUCUACCUAUCAUCAUAACUGAAGAGAUCAAAACAGAUCCUGAUGGAGAGAACUACAGAGUACCACAACCAACCAGUGAUCAGCCCCACUCAGUUCAUCCAGACUGCUCUGCUGCAGUGGAGAAACUAUAUCAGUGUAAACAAUGUGGCAACAGCUUCACACGUAAGGGACACUUGACCAUCCAUUCAAGGAUACACACAGGAGAGAAAUCUUAUCUGUGCAAACAAUGUGGCAAAAGCUUCAUCCAGAAAGGUGACUUGGACAGACAUACAAGGAUACACACAGGGGAGAGAUCUUUUCAGUGUGAAGACAGUGUCAAAGCUUUCAACCAGAAAAUAGAAUUGACAUUGCAUAUGAGAGUUCAUAGAGGACAGAGACCAUACAGCUGUCCUGAUUGCAGGAAAAGUUACAUGGAAUUAAGCCAUUUAAGACAUCAUCAGAGCGUUCACACAGGGGAGAAACUUCAUCCUUGCAAAGAAUGUGACAAAUGCUUUAGUUAUAAAGGAAGCUUGAAGUUGCAUAUGAACACUCAAACAAAAGGGAUACAUAAUAUCACUGCAAUGAGUGCAGCAAGUGAAUCUCAAGUGAGAACAACAAAUUAUACUUUAUCAUUGUGGAUUUCUUGUUACAUCCAACUUUAAAUUAAUGUUCUAUUUUCUGGCACUAGACAAAAAAGCAAAUUGAGUUGUGUGUAUGGAGGGGGAAGCAUCACUCAGUGUCAGCUUUUUAAGUUGAAUCUAGCUCUCACUUUCAGGGACCUACCCCCCAGGACACUGCUGGCUUCAGGAAGUCCUCACCACUGUAUCUAGCACAGAGCACACACUUGGAUUUCUAAACAACAGGAGUUAUUAUUCAAUUGUUUAACAAUGACAUACAGGAUAUCUUCUAUCUGUACUGAUGGCUGCAUGUUAGAAUAUUGAAGUAGCCCAUCACAUCUGUAUUGACUCAAUACAGCAAAUAAACUUUGUUUUAAUAAAGUUGUUUUUUUCAAUGGA